GGAGUUAGCCGGUGCUUCUUCUGUGAGUGAUGUCCUUCCUGCCGGCUAUUAACCCGCAGGCCUUCUUCCUCACUGAAAGUGCUUUACAACCCGAAGGCCUUCUUCACACACGCGGCAUGGCUGGAUCAGGGUUGCCCCCAUUGUCCAAUAUUCCCCACUGCUGCCUCCCGUAGGAGUCUGGGCCGUGUCUCAGUCCCAGUGUGGCUGAUCAUCCUCUCAGACCAGCUACGGAUCGUCGCCUUGGUGAGCCGUUACCUCACCAACCAGCUAAUCCGACAUAGGCUCAUCCGAUAGCGCGAGGCCCGAAGGUCCCCCGCUUUCCCCCGUAGGGCGUAUGCGGUAUUAGCCUGGGUUUCCCCAGGUUAUCCCCCACUACCGGGCAGAUUCCUAUGCAUUACUCACCCGUCCGCCGCUCGCCACCAGGGAGCAAGCUCCCCGUGCUGCCGCUCGACUUGCAUGUGUUAGCUGCCGCCACGCGUUCAUCUGAGCCAGAAUACAACUACUGA
rnacentral:rRNA from 1 species